CCUUUCUCUUGCUAAACAGGAUGCUUCUUGAUGCAUGAACCAUUUCAUAGAACCAAUUGGACCUUCAAGUUUACUCAAUUGAAUUUUUAUUAUUUGACACUCCAUUGGCUGUCAGAGCUAGAUGGUUUGGGGACUCAUUCUUUGGAUGGCAGCUGUGAAAGUUGGGGUGCUAGGUGUGUGGACAAGCUGCUUCCAGGGAGAUGCUGGCGACAGUUCUAUUGGAGCAAGUCAGAGGGAGAAGGCAAAGUGCCACCGGCUCUUUUCAGCCAGAUCCAGGCUUCCCUGAUGGUUCAGAC
ensembl:lncRNA